rfam:Beta vulgaris subsp. vulgaris chromosome 6, whole genome shotgun sequence.
GUCUCUUCAAAGACAUCUGAUAAAAUUGGAACGAUAUAGAGAAGAUUAGAAUGGCCCCUGCACAAGGAUGAC